rnacentral:piRNA from 1 species
UGUGCAAGCUGGCACCUCUGCCAUCCCU